GUCCUUUUGAUAAUAAUUUAAGGUCUAAUCUGCCCACUGAGUAAUUAAAGGGCCGCGGUAUAUUGACCGUGCUAAGGUAGCAUAAUAAUUAGUUUUUUAAUUGAAAGCUGGUAUGAAUGAUUGGAUGAGAAAAUGACUGUCUCUAAUUAAAUUAAAAUGAAUUUUAUAAUUAAGUAAGAAAGCUUAAAUGAGUUUAAAAGACGAGAAGACCCUAUAGAGUUUUAUAUUAAAUUUAAUUAUAAUUUUUAGUAUUAUAAAAUAUAUUUAUUUAGAAUAUUUAGUUGGGGUGAUUAAAAAAUUAGAAAAACUUUUUUUAUUAAAAAACAUAUAUAAAUGAUUAUUUGAUCCAUUAAUAAUGAUUAUAAGAUUAAAUUACCUUAGGGAUAACAGCGUAAUUUUUUUAGAGAGUUCAAAUUGAUAAAAAAGAUUGCGACCUCGAUGUUGGAUUAAAAUAAAUUUAUGGUGUAGAAGCUAUAAAGGUUAGGUCUGUUCGACCUUUAAAAUUUUACAUGA
rnacentral:rRNA from 1 species